AACGAACGCUGGCGGCAGGCUUAACACAUGCAAGUCGAGGGGCAGCGACAGUAACAAUCCUUCGGGUGCGUUAUUGGGCGGCGAGCGGCGGACGGGUGAGUAAUGCCUGGGAAUAUGCCUUGAUGUGGGGGAUAACUAUUGGAAACGAUGGCUAAUACCGCAUGAUGCCUACGGGCCAAAGAGGGGGACCUUCGGGCCUCUCGCGUCAGGAUAUGCCUAGGUGGGAUUAGCUAGUUGGUGAGGUAAGGGCUCACCAAGGCAACGAUCCCUAGCUGGUCUGAGAGGAUGAUCAGCCACACUGGAACUGAGACACGGUCCAG
rnacentral:rRNA from 1 species